GACGAACGCUGGCGGCGUGCUUAACACAUGCAAGUCGAACGGAAAGGCCCUGCUUUUGUGGGGUGCUCGAGUGGCGAAUGGGUGAGUAACACGUGAGUAACCUGCCCUUGACUUUGGGAUAACUUCAGGAAACUGGGGCUAAUACCGGAUAGGAGCUCCUGCUGCAUGGUGGGGGUUGGAAAGUUUCGGCGGUUGGGGAUGGACUCGCGGCUUAUCAGCUUGUUGGUGGGGUAGUGGCUUACCAAGGCUUUGACGGGUAGCCGGUCUGAGAGGGUGACCGGCCACAUUGGGACUGGGAUACGGCCCAGACACCUACGGGAGGCAGCAGUGGGGAAUAUUACACAAUGGGCGGAAGCCUGAUGCAGCAACGCCGCGUGCGGGAUAACGGCCUUCGGGUUGUAAACCGCUUUCGCAUGUGACGAAGCGUGAGUGACGGUAAUGGGUAAAGAAGCACCGGCUAACUACGUG
rnacentral:rRNA from 1 species